UGUUAGGAUAUGGACCGUCACUUCGUUUUAAUGAAGUGGAUUCCCAUGUGAGACGUUGUAUUGGAUGAGCGUCUCUGGGUUCCCAAAUGUUUUGAACAAGUGUAUAAAAGGUUUUAACUGUUCAUUCAAAACACUUUUACCCUCUGCAAGUUAUUGCCAUUCUUUGUGAUUUGAAGCUUUGUGCGUUGAAAGUAUUUCCAGUUUCUGCAGAGUUUUUAUUCUCCAUUUCAUCUCUCAAAACAAGUUGGUUUUCUUGGUAUCACUUCUGUUUUAAUCUUUUUUAUGCCGAGAGUUUAAAACCGCUAAUCAUGUUUUAGGGUGGAUGAUGAUACUGGCUUGUUUUCACCAAGAUACAUCAUGGUUUGUAGUGACACAAGUGUUUAUUUUUCAGAAAACCACCAUGUUUUAAGUAGUUUACUGUUUUUCUUUUCGUUUUUAUUGUCAUGAAUGUUAGUGUGAUAUUGUGGUUUUAGACUUAAAGUCAAACCAAACAUUGUCUUAGGUUCUAUAUGGCUAUAAGAAAAACCGUUGAUCGCCCCUUUCCCGUGACAUCUAUGAUAUAUGCCCUUCCUGAAAUCACUGAUCGCCCCUUUUCCGCGAUAGAUCCUUAGGAGAGGAGGAAUGGGAAAUAAGGAUUCCCUUGGUGGACAGUAGGAUUUGUUCUCAAUAUUUUCUUGAACAUGAUCCCUAUGUACGAGAUUGUGUUCAAAGAUAUGAGCUUCAGAAUGCCCUUCUCGGAUUUUUAGAUGGCUCGAGCUUGCUCCCUCACAACUUCAUCCAAACUUUAUGGCCUUCAUCCGGUCCUUUGAGAUAAUGUGUGGUUAUCUCAAAUAGGUCACCACCAUGUCCUUUUUCUCUAUUUUUACUCUAAAACGAGGGGUACAUAAAGAAGAGGUAAGAGUUGGGUGUCUUUUAGGACAAAACAAAAAGUUAUUCAACAUCUAUCUUGAUUCUGUUUGAAGCUUCAAGGAUAAGUAUUUCCUUAUAAAUCCAAAGACUAGGGUGGCUUUGGACAAUCUUUUGCGAACCAGGAAUCAGGCAAGGCUCGAUGGAUCCUUCGUUCUUGAGGAGGUUCCUCAAUUUCCCUAGUAUAUUUAUUAAAGUAGUAAAUAAUAUGACUAGCAAGAAAGUAGGAAAAAAAACAACACAUGUUCUUGUUCAGUUACUAGAAAGUAGGAGAUAUAACUUCUUCCUUAUUUAUAUGACUAUUUUCUUUUUAUUUUUCCGGAAAUCUAUGAUGAAUGUAUGAACAAAACGCUGAAAAAUAAAGAGAUUAGGAAAGAGAAAAAAGACACAAAAAUUAUAGUUGUUUCCCUUAUAACCCAAGGGUAGUCCGAUUCCUCCACACCCCAUGAAGGAUUUCACUAUGUUAAAAAUUUUAUUACAAGCAAGUCUCGCCCAAAGGCCCCCUAAAUUUUUUGUUACAAGCAAGUCU
rnacentral:lncRNA from 1 species